AUCAGUGCCUGAGCAAAAUGGAAAGGCUGCUAAAAAUAAGCAACAUUUGCUCAUUGGUAUAAAUAACAAAAGCGAGAGAGAAAGAAAAACAGAAAGACAACAAGACGAAAAUGAAAACUGGCCCCAGACCAGACCUCGCAGAAUGGCCAGUCACCUCCUCAUUGCCAAUUCUCUCACCAUCUCCACUAUGGGCAAGAUACUUUCCACUGCCAAGUGCCCUCUGCUUCUUCCCUGAGAGCACCAUCACUUGCAGAUUCACAGUGGGCCUGAGCAUAGAAGAUAUUCCGACAGCACCUCACAAAAUACCACUGUGAUCCCUGCAGUAGCUUGUGCAUGUUAAAGAAUGGUACCUGACAGAGUAUAGGACAGGAGAGGGCUGGAGGUCAGGAGAAGCUCCAGUGACCAGCCAUCAGCUUUCAGAUUUACAAAUGCUUAUGAAAAGAAAACAUGAGAUUGCAUCUGGUUUGUCUGUGGCGCCAUUUGUUGCUAUAUGGAGACUACUUGGAAAAGGUGAUGAGUGAACCAAAGCAUCUGGAUGAACAAACGUGGGAAUGAAGGACCAAGUGUUAAGUCUUUGAACUUACAGAUGUGAGCUUGGUGCCAUCAGCAGUCUGAGCAUCAUCUGUCUUCUGUGUGCCACAGCCGUUAAGCUCCUGGCAAUACUGCUUUUUGGAGGCCCACUUCUAUAACCGAUGGGAGAUUUAUUUCAAAUGGCAUUUGUGAGUAAAAGAAAAACCUGAAAUAAGAAUCUUCAGUAGUUCUUCCGCAAAUAAGGGCUGUUGUUUUUAUCAACAUAAGGAGAAAUCGCCGUGCUAACACCAAUAAUGUGUGAAAGCUAAAAGCCAGCACUGGCAAGAGGAGAACUCUUGCUAAGAAUUGACAAAUUUUUCAAAUAUGACUAAACUGAGGUAAGGCCCAAGGUUUCCUAAAGCCACAGCAGUAUCUGAGAAAAUAAUUAA